rnacentral:ncRNA from 1 species
GUGUAGUUUGAAAGGAGAGCACGUUAGCACUCCCCAUAGACAAGGAUGGAAUCACAUAUAAAUUUAUUCACAUAAACAAAAACAAGUAAAUGUAUUAUAGUCGGGCAAGACUCACUGGUUUAA